rnacentral:lncRNA from 1 species
AAAGAUCAAGGAAUCUGCAUAUUUUCCUGGAUUAUGCACACAUAAUCCUAAACAUUUAUAACAUUUAUAAAGCAGGGUGCUUCUCUAUAUGUGUGUGUGUGUGUGUAUAGGUAGGAGAAGCCAAAGGGAGAGAAAAGGAGCCCAAGUGGCCACGGGAGAAGGAGGAGGCGAUUUAUCAACACAAGAUUGCUUGAUAAAGACUUAAAAUAGUGUCUAACUACUAAAAUAAUGUAUAAAUAUUAAAAUAAAUAUAGCAUCCCUACUUCGCGGAUUUUCAGUUAUUGCAGGCAGUCCUAGAACCUAACCCCCACAAUAAGUGAGGGAACAAUGUAUAUAUAUAUAUAUAUUUCUUUAAUUUGAUUUCUAAAAUAAAUGUGCAUAUCGGUGUACCAACCAAAUCUAUUUUUGGUUUUAAUAUUUUGUAAGCUGCCUUCAGUUUCUGUAGUGGGAAAACCUGGGAUAUAAACAAAUGCUAAUGAUAAUGAAAAUGAUAAUGAGAGCAAUAAAUAUUGCUGUACAGAUACAGUAAGACUGAGCAGGAAUCAGUGUAACUGCUUAUGGUGAUAGUAUGGGGAGCCUCAUUGACAUUCAUGUUCUAUUACUCUUGUGCUCUCUUUUGUUUUCAGAGUGACAAAUGGCUUCUCUCCCCUUUUUCCUGCAAAUCUCAUUAAGGAGUAAAGCAAUGAAGCUUCAACCACCUCAUGAUCCGUUCUUGCCCUCCAGGGAUCAAAAGCAAACCCAAUGCAGGGUUCAGUUAACAGAGGAAUUUAUCAGCAACUGAACAAGAGGUUUGGGGAGAAAUCACCAUGAUUUACAAGAGUUGGCCUACAUCCAGAGAGCACCAUUAACCCAACCAACAAUUGAUCUGGACCAAGCUUGCCAUGGAUAAUGGAACUUGCAGUACCUUCACUGAUACUGUGGCCCCCACUAACAAUGGACUAGGAUAAAACUUGGCACAGAAGCCAACUGAACAUACUGCAGGGGUUAGUGGGAACUGACCUUGAUUUUGGGAGUUUUAGUUCACCUGCACCCAGAAAGCACUGAACCCAGCUGAUGUCAGAUCUGAAUCAAACAUGGCACACAGACCCAACAUGGCCAACUGUGCAUACAGGCCUGGUUUGGGGGUAACUGACCUCAGAUCUGGGAAUUGUAGAUCACCUUUAUCCAGAGAGCCCUGAACCAAGCCAACAAUGGAUCUGGACUAAACUUGGCGCAUAGACUCAACAUGGCCAACUGGAAAUACUAGCAGGGUUUGGGGGUGACUGCUCUGGGAAUCUGAGAGUUGUAGUUCACCCUUAUCCAGACAGCACUGAACCCAGCCAACGACCGAUCUGGACCAAACUUCAAUGAUAUUGUCUAACGUCCCAAAACAAACAAUGCCUUCUUCUAACAACCCGGACGACCGAUCUGGACCAAACUUCAAUGAUAUUGCCUAACGUCCCAAAACAAACAAUGCCUUCUUCUAACAACCCGGACGA